rnacentral:rRNA from 1 species
AUUGAACGCUGGCGGCAUGCUUUACACAUGCAAGUCGAACGGUAACAGGCCGCAAGGUGCUGACGAGUGGCGAACGGGUGAGUAAUGCAUCGGAACGUGCCCAGUCGUGGGGGAUAACUACUCGAAAGAGUAGCUAAUACCGCAUACGAUCUAUGGAUGAAAGCGGGGGACCGUAAGGCCUCGCGCGAUUGGAGCGGCCGAUGUCAGAUUAGGUAGUUGGUGGGGUAAAGGCUCACCAAGCCAACGAUCUGUAGCUGGUCUGAGAGGACAACCAGCCACACUGGGACUGAGACACGGCCCAGACUCCUACGGGAGGCAGCAGUGGGGAAUUUUGGACAAUGGGCGCAAGCCUGAUCCAGCAAUGCUGCGUGCAGGAAGAAGGCCUUCGGGUUGUAAACUGCUUUUGUACGGAACGAAACGGCUCUGGUUAAUACCCGGGGCUAAUGACGGUACCGUAAGAAUAAGCACCGGCUAACUACGUG